rnacentral:rRNA from 1 species
AGACCCGAAACCCGGUGAUCUAGCCAUGGGCAGGUUGAAGGUUGGGUAACACUAACUGGAGGACCGAACCGACUAAUGUUGAAAAAUUAGCGGAUGACCUGUGGCUGGGGGUGAAAGGCCAAUCAAACCGGGAGAUAGCUGGUUCUCCCCGAAAGCUAUUUAGGUAGCGCCUCGUGAACUCAUCUCCGGGGGUAGAGCACUGUUUCGGCUAGGGGGCCAUCCCGGCUUACCAACCCGAUGCAAACUGCGAAUACCGGAGAAUGUUAU